GUUUGAUGCUGGAUCAGAUUGGACGCUGGCGGCAUGCCUUACACAAAUGCAUCGGAACGUACCUUUCAGUGGGGGAUAACGUAGCGAAAGUUACGCUAAUACCGCAUAUUCUGUGAGCAGGAAAGCAGGGGAUCGCAAGACCUUGCGCUGAUUGAGCGGCCGAUGUCAGAUUAGCUAGUUGGUGAGGUAAAGGCUCACCAAGGCGACGAUCUGUAGCGGGUCUGAGAGGAUGAUCCGCCACACUGGAACUGAGACACGGUCCAGACUCCUACGGGAGGCAGCAGUGGGGAAUUUUGGACAAUGGGGGCAACCCUGAUCCAGCCAUGCCGCGUGAGUGAAGAAGGCCUUCGGGUUGUAAAGCUCUUUCGGCCGGGAAGAAAUCGUAUGGGCUAAUACCCUGUGCGGAUGACGGUACCGGCAUAAGAAGCACCGGCUAACUACGUGCCAGCAGCCGCGGUAAUACGUAGGGUGCGAGCGUUAAUCGGAAUUACUGGGCGUAAAGCGUGCGCAGGCGGUUUUGUAAGACAGGCGUGAAAUCCCCGGGCUCAACCUGGGAACUGCGCUUGUGACUGCAAGGCUAGAGUACGGCAGACGGGGGGUGGAAUUCCACGUGUAGCAGUGAAAUGCGUAGAGAUGUGGAGGAACACCGAUGGCGAAGGCAGCCCCCUGGGUCGAUACUGACGCUCAUGCACGAAAGCGUGGGUAGCAAACAGGAUUAGAUACCCUGGUAGUCCACGCCCUAAACGAUGUCAACUAGGUGUUGGGGUGGGUAAAACCAUUUAGUACCGUAGCUAACGCGUGAAGGUUGACCGCCCUGGCGGAGUACGGCCGCAAGGUUAAAUACGUCAACAGGAAUUCGAACGGGGACCCGCACAAGUCGGAUGGCAUGAUGGUGGAUUAAUUCGAAUGCAAUCGCGAAACAACCUUUAC
rnacentral:rRNA from 1 species